CCCUACUUCACGGAGCAGAAGCGGAGACCCAGUGAAGACCAGUUUCACAGACAAGGCGGGACCGUAAUUCAUGCUGUGAUUGCAGGUUGCUACAAGCCGUUGAACACAGUUCCCUGUGCUGCGCAGGAGGACCUUGCUUGUUCUGUGCAUGGUACUGGGAGCACACUGGCUGGUAGUCUCUCCCCCAAGUCCUGACAGAAGCUGGGGGAUUGUGUGGCACCGCCGAGUUUGUUCGGAGCUGCCCAAAAGCUGCAGAGAAAACAUUGUGAUUGUAGCUUCCUCAGAAGUACAAAAAUAAAGUAAAACAGAAGGUUGUGACAGAGACUCUAAUGAGAAUAAAAUGCCAAUUAACUCAGAAGUAUUGGACGAGAAUCUGUUUCUCAGAAGAACCCCAGGUCGCACUUCAUGGAUCCGUUUCAAUGUCCCCCAGAGCACUGACCGGCCACGCUGGGGAAGCCGCCCUCAGAACAGUCGAGAACUCAGUGCCAGACCCACUACUUGUCACUUUAAUUGGCACUCAUUCCGUAUGAUGCUCACACGUUCACCGAAUGGGUUCAGUUUAAUUCGGAGUGGGGAUUUCUGUCUUUCUCCUAUUGAAGUAUUUAAUGGAGCAGGCUUUAACGCCGA